AACGAACGCUGGCGGCAUGCCUAACACAUGCAAGUCGAACGCUCACCUUCGGGUGGGAGUGGCGCACGGGUGCGUAACGCGUGGGAACCUGCCCUUAGGUUCGGAAUAACUCCCCGAAAGGGGUGCUAAUACCGGAUAAUGUCUUCGGACCAAAGAUUUAUCGCCUUUGGAUGGGCCCGCGUUGGAUUAGCUAGUUGGUGGGGUAAAGGCCUACCAAGGCGACGAUCCAUAGCUGGUCUUAGAGGAUGAUCAGCCACACUGGGACUGAGACACGGCCCAGACUCCUACGGGAGGCAGCAGUGGGGAAUAUUGGACAAUGGGCGAAAGCCUGAUCCAGCAAUGCCGCGUGAGUGAUGAAGGCCCUAGGGUUGUAAAGCUCUUUUACCAGGGAUGAUAAUGACAGUACCUGGAGAAUAAGCUCCGGCUAACUCCGUGCCAGCCGCCGCCGUAAUAC
rnacentral:rRNA from 1 species